AUGAGGGGUAUCGUGGGGGUGUUGGUGUGUUUGUCUUUCGGAAAGUGUGCUUUAGUUCCUGAACUCCGUGCAACAGAGUUUGGGUUAAUGCCUCCUGAGAACCUUACGCAAGGACAAACGGGAUUUGCGGUGUCUGAUUUAUCCUAUUGUCAGAUGAUUCUGGAAGCUCCGGUUCCACCCACAGCAGACCAGGUACCCUGGUUCUGCAUCUGUUCUGCUUGCUCCGGAAACCGAGGCCAGAAAGGAGACAGAGGCGACCGCGGACUGCCAGGAGUUCCUGGUAGUUCAGGUCCAAGAGGCCUCAGUGGGCUUCCCGGCCGUCCAGGAUUCACAGGACGUCCCGGCAUUAAGGGUGAGACUCAACAAGUCUUGUAUGAUGCAUUUUACUUCAGUAUGAAUGUGUGCGUAUCAGUGUUGGGGAAGCUAGUUUGAAAUUGUAGCUUCCCAUGCUACAAGCUUCCUGCUUAUAGUAAAGAAAUUAAUGGUUUAAGUUUUGUUUUGGAUGCAUUUCCAAAAAGCAUUUUAAGCUUAAAGGGAUAGUUCAUCGAAAAAUUAAACGUUUCUUUUUUCUGUUAAACACAAGAAAAGAUGUUUUGAAGAAUGUUGUAACCAAACAGUUGCUUGUAGCCAUUGACUUCCAUAGUACUGAAUAAAAUACUAUGUAAGUCAAUGGCUGCCAGCAACUGUUUGGUUACCAACAUUCUUCAAAAUAUCUUUUGUCUACAACAGAAUAAAGAAACCUAUAUAGGUGGAGGGUGAGUAAAUGAUUACAGUUUUCACUUUUUGUCAUUUUUUACGGAUUACGUCAAAGUAACAGACAGGUGUGUUGAAGCAGGGUUGGAACUGAAAAAUGCAGGAAGAUAGCUCUCCAAAAGCAAGACCCUAAACUCUUAGUCUACACCCUGAAUUCUACAAUUGUAACCCAAACUCUUAACUUACUCCCAACCUUCUAAACCUAAACUUGACCUAUUCCCUAGACCUAUACCUAGCAUACCAAACUUCUAACUACACCCUAGACCUACACCCAACAUUCUUAACCUAAACAUUAAUUGACUUGCUAAACCUGCACCCUAAUGUGUUAACCUAUGCCCAGAAUUCUAAACCUCCACCCAAAAUUUUUGGAUGAACUAUCCCUCUAAGUAGAUCAUUGAGACCAUGGUCAGUUAGUUACUCUCCGAAACUGGUGUGCACUUAUAUCAAUUGAGUUAAAUCUGGUAAUCAUGUAAUUCACACACUCACAGGUGAGAAAGGUGACGCCGGGGAUAAGGGUGACAUUGGUCAACCUGGAGUUUCAGGGCCAAAGGGAGACAGGGGAUUUAAAGGUCAGUGAAUCUUCGUUAAUUUAUCACCAUACACGCAAUGCUUAUCAUGGCCCUUGGUUACCAUGUUAUUAUAUAUAUGUGCUUCCCAGGUGAGAAGGGUG
ensembl:lncRNA